UACGUAGGGGGCAAGCGUUGUCCGGAUUUAUUGGACGUAAAGAGCGUGUAGGCGGCCAGACAGGUCUGCUGUGAAAACUCGAGGCUCAACCUCGAGAUGUCGGCGGAAACCGUCUGGCUAGAGUCCGGAAGAGGAGAGUGGAAUUCCUGGUGUAGCGGUGAAAUGCGUAGAGAUCAGGAAGAACACCGGUGGCGAAAGCGCUCUGCUAGGCCGCAACUGACACUGAGGGACGAAAGCUAGGGGAGCGAAUGGG
rnacentral:rRNA from 1 species